UACGUAGGUGACAAGCGUUGUCCGGAUUUAUUGGGCGUAAAGAGCGUGUAGGCGGCCAGGUAGGUCUGGUGUGAAAACUCGAGGCUUAACCUCGAGAUGUCAUCGGAAACCAUCUGGCUAGAGUCCGGAAGAGGAGAGUGGAAUUCCUGGUGUAGCGGUGAAAUGCGCAGAUAUCAGGAAGAACACCAAUGGCGAAGGCAGCUCUCUGGGACGGUACUGACGCUGAGACGCGAAAGCGUGGGGAGCGAACAGG
rnacentral:rRNA from 1 species